UACGGAGGAUCCAAGCGUUAUCCGGAUUUAUUGGGUUUAAAGGGUGCGUAGGCGGCCUGUUAAUCAGAGGUGAAAGACGGUAGCUCAACUAUCGCAGUGCCUUUGAUACUGACGGGCUUGAAUAAACUAGAGGUAGGCGGAAUGAGACAAGUAGCGGUGAAAAUGCAUAGAUAUGUCUCAGAACACCGAUUGCGAAGGCAGCUUACUAUGGUUUUAUUGACGCUGAGGCACGAAAGCGUGGGGAUCAAACAGG
rnacentral:rRNA from 1 species